rnacentral:rRNA from 1 species
UUCGAUUAGAGUUUGAUCCUGGCUCAGAUUGAACGCUGGCGGCAGGCUUAACACAUGCAAGUCGAGCGGUAGCACAGGGGAGCUUGCUCCCUGGGUGACGAGCGGCGGACGGGUGAGUAAUGUCUGGGAAACUGCCUGAUGGAGGGGGAUAACUACUGGAAACGGUAGCUAAUACCGCAUAACGUCGCAAGACCAAAGAGGGGGACCUUCGGGCCUCUUGCCAUCAGAUGUGCCCAGAUGGGAUUAGCUAGUAGGUGGGGUAAUGGCUCACCUAGGCGACGAUCCCUAGCUGGUCUGAGAGGAUGACCAGCCACACUGGAACUGAGACACGGUCCAGACUCCUACGGGAGGCAGCAGUGGGGAAUAUUGCACAAUGGGCGCAAGCCUGAUGCAGCCAUGCCGCGUGUGUGAAGAAGGCCUUCGGGUUGUAAAGCACUUUCAGCGAGGAGGAAGGUGGUGAGCUUAAUACGCUCAUCAAUUGACGUUACUCGCAGAAGAAGCACCGGCUAACUCCGUGCCAGCAGCCGCGGUAAUACGGAGGGUGCAAGCGUUAAUCGGAAUUACUGGGCGUAAAGCGCACGCAGGCGGUUUGUUAAGUCAGAUGUGAAAUCCCCGGGCUCAACCUGGGAACUGCAUUUGAAACUGGCAAGCUAGAGUCUCGUAAAGGGGGGUAGAAUUCCAGGUGUAGCGGUGAAAUGCGUAGAGAUCUGGNAGAAUACCGGUGGCGAAGGCUGCCCCCUGGACGAAUACUGACGCUCAGGUGCNAAAACGUGGGGAGCAAACAGGAUUAGAUGCCCUGGUAGUCCACGUUUUAAA